UAAUACGUGAGUAACCUGCCCUUGACUCUGGGAUAAGCCCGGGAAACUGGGUCUAAUACUGGAUGCUACAUGUCACCGCAUGGUGGUGUGUGGAAAGGGUUUACUGGUCUUGGAUGGGCUCACGGCCUAUCAGCUUGUUGGUGAGGUAAUGGCUCACCAAGGCGACGACGGGUAGCCGGCCUGAGAGGGUGACCGGCCACAGUGGGACUGAAACACGGCCCACACUCCUACGGGAGGCAGCAGUGGGGAAUAUUGCACAAUGGGCGAAAGCCUGAUGCAGCGACGCCGCGUGAGGGAUGACGGCCUUCGGGUUGUAAACCUCUUUCAGCAGGGAAGAAGCCACAAGUGACGGUACCUGCAGAAGAAGCGCCGGCUAACUACGUGCCAGCAGCCGCGGUAAUACGUAGGGCGCAAGCGUUGUCCGGAAUUAUUGGGCGUAAAGAGCUCGUAGGCGGUUUGUCGCGUCUGCUGUGAAAGCCCGGGGCUUAACCCCGGGUGUGCAGUGGGUACGGGCAGACUAGAGUGCAGUAGGGGAGACUGGAAUUCCUGGUGUAGCGGUGGAAUGCGCAGAUAUCACGAGGAACACCGAUGGCGAAGGCAGGUCUCUGGGCUGUUACUGACGCUGAAGAGCGAAAGCAUGGGGAGCGAAACAGGAUUUAGAUACCCUGGUAUUCCAUGCCGUAAACGUUUGGGCACUAGGUGUUGGGGGGGACAUUCCCACGUUUUCCCGCGCCGUAGCUAACGCCUUUAA
rnacentral:rRNA from 1 species